CGACCGGCGCACGGGUGAGUAACGCGUAUGUAAUCUACCUGUAACAGGGGGAUAACCCGGAGAAAUCCGGACUAAUACCUCAUAGCACAUAUUAUUCGCAUGAAUUUUAUGUUAAAGAGACUCGGUUACAGAUGAACAUGCGUUCCAUUAGCUAGUUGGCGGGGUUACGGCCCACCAAGGCAACGAUGGAUAGGGGUUCUGAGAGGAAGGUCCCCCACACUGGUACUGAGACACGGACCAG
rnacentral:rRNA from 1 species